rnacentral:lncRNA from 1 species
GAAGGUAUACCUUUUUUAUUAGUCUUUAUACGCUUUAUUUGAGCGAAACUUCACUGUAAACAACUUUUUUAUUUUCACAAAAGUAAGUACUAAACAAUAAUAAUUAAUAUUUACUAUUAAUUGGAUUGACAAAUUUUAACUGUUAUUUAGCUCAUUUAAAUUUAAACUCUUCCAGCUCAAAUAACUUUCGAAUGAAUUAAUAAUGUGAUUAUUUAUCCACCCACAAAAGGGUAAAGCCAAAAGUCUAGCUAUGAAUUCGGGCCAAGUCAAAUACAUAGUAACUAUUUUAAAAUUUAAAACUUAUAGAAUUAAAAUUUUAGCUACACCAUGUUUGUCCACCCAAUUUUAGCCCAAUCACCUAUUUGACAUCCAUAAAUUAGAUUAGAUUGGGUACACAUGGUAUUCGCCGAAUCAAAAGUAUAAUUUAGUUUGAUUUGAUACACAAUUUAAAAAAUAAAAAAGUCUUUUUGAUUUUGUGAUCUAAAAUAAAUUUUUAUCAAAUAUAUCAAAAUAUAUAAUAUGAAAAGUUAAAAUAAAAAUUUUAUUAAAAAGAAAAGAGGUUAUUUUAAUCUUCUAAAUAUGUAAUUAUUGUCCAUCAACAAAUAUUUUAAAAUAUUUAUUUUUUAUAGCUAAGUUGCAGUUACAAAAAUGUUAACCACAAACACACAUCUAUUAUGAAGGUGUGGGAGCCAGCUGCAGCUUGCAGAAAGAGGACGGACAAGUAGGGAGAAAGAGACAUAUUUUCCCUCCGAAAAGGGUGGGCCCGGAGACGGACUUGAAAUGCGGAACUGAAAUUAAAAUUAAAACGAAUGGACACCAAAAAUGGAUGAGACAGGAAAAAAGAGAAUUCAAAUCCAACUAAAUAAAGGAAAAGAAAAAAAGAAAAAGGCAAAAUGUCCGUGAAAACGUGAUGGUAGGAGGAUUGGAUGGAGAAAAAUGACUUACAUUAUGAUAUCUGCCAAACACGCGCCUGUCAACAUCUUCCCAUCCCACCUCCCUUCCUACUUUACUUCCUUGAAGUAUUACGUAAUUAGAAAUAAACAAAAAAUGUAUCCACCUCUCUUUCUCUCUCAUAAUACUCUCUCCUUCCAUUAAAAAAAUUGGAUAGAAAGUGCUGCUCAUCGUAUACGACUUAAUACUAUGGGAAUUUAGAAUAGAUAAAUUUUAAUGGAGAGGCUAUAUUAAAAAAAAAAAAACUUUAUAAAAGUAUUAACAAAUUAAAGUAACUUUUUUUUGUUUUCCUCGAUAUUUGAUAUUUAUAUUACAGUCAAAUUAACUUGAAUUUUCAUCAAAUAGGAACUCAUGAAAAAUAACAUUUAUAUUAAAAAACUUCAUAUGAGAACUCAAAUUAAUUUUAAAAAAAACCUAUUCACUACCCUAGGCGGCUAUUACGGUUAGUACUAGCAAUUAAUCAGAAUUACUAGUACUAGCAAUUAAUAAGAAAUUUAUACGUUCAAACUUUCUGAUAUGAAUGGCCGUUUGGUCAAAUUUUGGUUGGCUAUAAAUGCUUAAUUUAAAAAGUAAGGUAUUUAACUAAAUUUUAAAGAAAAGAUAAGUAAUUUCAAGAGUAAUACUGUAAAAAAUUAUUUUAGAAGGUAAAAACUAAAAAGUAAUUGGUCGACCACUAAUUACUAUUUUAAAAAACAUUUUUUAAAUCAAUUAGUCAAACACAUAAUUUUUUUUAUCAAUAUACUUAAAAAAAAAUUAAAUUAAAAUAAAUAGUUUUAAAAAUAUAUAUUUUAAUAGCUUGAUAAACAUAGAAACCUCUUUUCUUUUUUUUUGGGUGUAUUACAAGUUUUUUUACCCUCGCUAUAUAAUUUUUCUGAAAAAAUAAUCCCCCCUAAUUAAAAAAUGAAAAAGAGAACAAAUUUUUUUUUUAUAAUACUCUAAUUUCAAUUUUCUAUAUUGCAGAUUCAAAGCUAGAAGAUUAAAACAUAAUUUAAUAUAAAAUUAUAAUAUUAAAAAAAUUCUUUAUUUUUCAUAAAUUUCAUACCAAAUAAAAUUAG